GUCAGGCAGAGGCAGAGAGCUGCCCGCCAUGAAGCUGCCAGCCUUUCUUCUAGGCUUGGGAAGGUCAGCUUUUUCCAGCCUCACCACUCAAGAAACAUUCCCUUGGAAUCAGUUCCGUCGGAAUCGGUGGUCCAGAAAGUACAUUGCAGGGCUCACAGGAAAGUGUAAUGUCAGUGGUGAGACUUUCCCGACUCAGGCUUCAAACUUGGUCAUUCACACCAUGAUAGGAGCACAUGGUCGAAGAUGCCAUUAAAAGAGGCCUGGCUGGGCUCGGGGGACACUGCCUGAGACAACUGCCGAGCAGAAGAGUGGCUCAGGGCUUGAGGAUGCUUCUGGCCCUCUCCAUUGGAAAAAUAAAAUAAAAACAAAGCCUAGGAGGUUGUACCAAUGAAGAUGCGGUGUCUGAUAGAUAAAAAGAAAGUUAUGUAAGUGACAAGUGACCUUUCUUGUUUUCCACAGGUGAUGACAUUAUUGGGGGUCGGGGCGGUUCUCAACCUGUGGGUCGCAGUCCCUCUGGGAGUCAAGCAUCCCUUUCAUGGGAUCUCAUAUCCUGCAUAUCCGAUCUUUACAUUAUGAUUCAUA